rnacentral:misc_RNA from 1 species
AAUUGCGAAAAGUAAUGUGACCUGCACUCUUUGAGAAGCAUUUUACUCUUUGAACGCACCUUGCACGCACUUGGGCGACCGAGUGCGAGGUCCUGUUUGAGCAUUUUAAAGAAUCUCUGGUAGUCGUGCAAACGAUUACCACAGACCUGGACCCUUUAGCCGGCGCUAGCCAGCCACGGGGACUGAAAAGCAGACAAUGACGUCCGAACGACUCUAGGACGUGUGGCAGUGUGACAAACGAUCACUACCACCCAUAUUGUCAUCUUUACUCUUUGUUCGACUUGUCGAACCACCAGCAAAGAAAGGUUCGAAUCCGAUUCGAACCACUAGUUAAAAAAAAUCUCAAAUCAGGAUAGAGGACCCGCUGAACUUAA